rnacentral:rRNA from 1 species
UACGUAGGCAGCGAGCGUUGUUCGGAGUUACUGGGCGUAAAGAGUGCGUAGGCGGUUUUCUAAGUUUGGUGUGAAAUCUCCCGGCUUAACCUGGGAACUGCGUCUGAUACUGGACGGCUCGAGUUUGGGAGAGGGAUGCAGAAUUCCAGGUGUAGCGGUGAAAUGCGUAGAUAUCUGGAGGAAUACCGGUGGCGAAGGCGGCAUCCUGGACCGGCAUUGACGCUGAGGAGCGAAAGCUAGGGGAGCAAACGGG